rnacentral:lncRNA from 1 species
GAUUUAACAAUAUCCCUAAGACUCAGUUUCUCCUGUCUCUCUACUUCACUUCUGAUUGUGUUGGUUCCAUUCUCAAACAGAUGCUUUCCUCAUGGUAGCAAAAUGGCUGCCAGAAGCUCCAGCAACACAUGUUUCUGAGGUUGGGUCCUAUGGGAAACAGCAUCUACUUCUGCCCAGAAGUCACGACAAAAGCCACUGGGCCUCUCCAUGGCUCUGAUGGGGUCACUUGCCCAUCCUGGAGCCAAUCACAGUGGCCAAGGUUGCAUGUCCACCUGGAACUGAGGAUUGACUCCCCUUGGGCCAGUCUUCUUGGACUUGAGAGUGGAGUCUUCUGAAUGGAAGCCCAGGGCAGGGGCAAAACCAUAGAUGUCUAUUACAAUGGUGACCCAGCUGGAGCUCAUUUCAGCAGAGGGGAUGGUGGAACUAAGUGAGGAGGUGAGGCCUGGCCAGGAUCACACCGCAAGGCCCCAGCAAAGCCAAAACUCUUAGGAAUCCCUUUACCACACCCCAAGGGCUGCCAGAAUAGGUGGUGGGUGGGACUGAGCACCUGGGGGCCCCCACCACCCCAGGCUGCUCAAGGGGGCCUGCUCCCCACUUCCCACAUCUCCUCACCUCUCAGGCUGUGCUGACGGAGGAAGAGGUAAGGGGAGCCAAUACUCGAAGAAGCACGCACAUGCACACAGCACGAAUAAGGGGCAGAGCCCUCCAUCAACCAGUUUAUGCUGGAGGAGCCACCACUUAUCUUUUCUUCUUCUCUUGUAUCUUCCAGGCCUCAGGACAGGCCUCUGCUGAGAUCGGCACACUUACAGCUCAAUACGUAUCACCAUUGUUAUUAUUAUUAUUCUUUCUAGUACCAUUAUUUAUUCUUACCCACACUCUCCUUGUCCAAACCUCUUCCUUUGCCCUGAGGUACAAACGAUUAAGAGCAGAGGGAGCGUGGACAGCCAAGCAGAAGGACCAGAGAAUUGCAUUUUUAGCAGGAGCCAAGGCCUGAAUUCAUCAAAAGGUGUGAAAACCCUCAGACGACGAAUGUGCACAGCUCUUCCCACUUUCUCAUCCGUUACCUCCCUUGGCUCUUAAAAAACAAAACCGAAAAACAACUCUGGGAGUGAAAUCAGGGUGAAAAAUCACCUCCAUUUACAAAUGAAAUAACUGAGCCCCUCCUUCCGGAAGCAACAUUUAUCUAAGGUUUCUCAGGUCCUAAAUAGUAGGAUUUACAUAGAACCUGACUCCCAGUUCAGAAGUUUCUCUACUAACUACACGUGUAUGUGUGUGACACACACACAUCUCCAUGCACACUCGUACUGUUCGAACUCAGAGAUAGAGACACAAAAUGCCUACAAAGUCGCAAACAUUCAUAGGGUCUCACAUUCCCGAAAAAGUAUCAAAAACUCCCUGGACCUAAGCCCUGUGUGAGGUGCCCCGCCCUCCCUAUCUACAUCCAGUAUUUCUACUCUCUGCUCUCCUUUCAUCACCCAUCCUAGGACCACCACACUGACCCCUUCCCCUGCCUCUGCCUUUAUUUAUCUCAAUUGUGACCAAGAGGUCUCUCCCCCCUUUGCUAAUAAGAACUUGACUCAAUUCAAUUAGCAUUUACUGCUCCCCUAAGAGGGAGAUAUUAUUAUCUCCAUUUUACUGCCCAGGAAACAGAGACCCAAAGACUUGAAGUCACUCGCCUGACAUUGUACAGCUAGAUCCAACCGUCUUGUCAUCCUCUGUCCCAGGUGGCCUGUCAUUUGAUUCCACCCAACUUUCCUCUUUGUGAAACAGAGAAGACAGGGUGUUCAGGCCCUACCCUUGAAAGGAGUGGGAAGAAAGUGGUCCCUUCUGGUCCACCUUCAGGCUGAGUCCUGUACAUUCAUUCAUUCAAUGAUAUUUACUGAGUUCCUACUAGGAGUUACUGUCUUAGGCCUGAGGUCGUGAGGGGUUUGGAGGGCAGAGGAGGAAGGAGAAGGGAGAACAAUCCUUGGUCAUUAAAGUAUAAUUUGGUUCCAAAAUGUUUGUUCUUGUGCUAGAGCCUAUACUGGCAAUCAUGGAUGGAAGAGGGAGUUAAAGCAUCAAGCCAGCUGUAUGUACGUGUAGAUGCAGAUGCAGAUGUGGAUGCCGUUAUAGAUGCAGAUGGAGAUGCAGAUGCAGAUGUGGAUGCAGAUGUGGAUGCCGUUAUAGAUGCAGAUGGAGAUGCAGAUGCAGAUAUGGAUGCAGUUGUAGAUGGAGAUGCAGAUGCAGAUGCAGAUGUGGAUGCAGUUGUAGAUGGAGAUGCAGAUGCAGACGUGGAUGCAGUUGUAGAUGGAGAUGCAGAUGCAGACGUGGAUGCAGUUGUAGAUGGAGAUGCAGAUGCAGACGUGGAUGCAGUUGUAGAUGGAGAUGCAGAUGCAGACGUGGAUGCAGUUGUAGAUGGAGAUGCAGAUGCAGAUGUGGAUGCAGUUGUAGAUGGAGAUGCAGAUGUGGAUGCAGUUGUAGAUGGAGAUGCAGAUGUGGAUGCAGUUGUAGAUGGAGAUGCAGAUGCAGAUGUGGAUGCAGUUGUAGAUGGAGAUGCAGAUGCAGAUGUGGAUGCAGUUGCAGAUGG